GCCAGCAGCUAGCUCUCUGCAACUCUCACAUGGUCGCCCACUGAAGCUAAGCAGGGCUGCGCCAGGUCAGUACCUGGAUGGGAGAUCACAUGGGAAAGCUAGGUUGCUGCCGGAA
rfam:Danio rerio chromosome 6 genomic contig CTG10382, GRCz11 reference primary assembly.